UACAGAGGUCCCAAGCGUUGUUCGGAUUCAUUGGGCGUAAAGGGUGCGUAGGCGGCGCGGUAAGUCGGGUGUGAAAUCUCGGGGCUUAACUCCGAAACUGCAUUCGAUACUGCCGUGCUUGAGGACUGGAGAGGAGACUGGAAUUUACGGUGUAGCGGUGAAAUGCGUAGAUAUCGUAAGGAAGACCAGUGGCGAAGGCGGGUCUCUGGACAGUCCUGACGCUGAGGCACGAAGGCCAGGGGAGCAAACGGG
rnacentral:rRNA from 1 species